rnacentral:rRNA from 1 species
GUGAGGAAUAUUGGUCAAUGGACGAGAGUCUGAACCAGCCAAGUCGCGUGAAGGAAGACGGUUCUAUGAAUUGUAAACUUCUUUUGUGCAGGAAUAAAGUGGGUUACGUGUAACCUUUUGUAUGUACUGUACGAAUAAGGAUCGGCUAACUCCGUGCCAGCAGCCGCGGUAAUACGGAGGAUCCGAGCGUUAUCCGGAUUUAUUGGGUUUAAAGGGUGCGUAGGUGGAUUGAUACGUCAGCGGUGAAAGUUUGCAGCUUAACUGUAAAAUUGCCGUUGAAACCGUCGGUCUUGAGUGCAAAUGAGGUAGGCGGAAUGUGUUGUGUAGCGGUGAAAUGCUUAGAUAUUACAUGGAAUACCAAUUGCGAAGGCAGGUUACUACUUGUGGAUUGACGCUGAUGGACGAAAGCGUGGGGAGCGAACAGGAUUAGAUACCCUUGUAGUCC